CAUAAAUUAAUAAAUUAACAAAAUAUAUAAACAGAUCAAAUAAAAAAGGAAACAACUAUAAAAUGGUCAAUAAAAAAUAUACAUGAAUGUUAGAUAAAUUUAGACUAACCUGGUCGAAGAUCCAUUCAACCUACUAUAGUCGACACCUUAUACAUAUGAAUAUGUGUCUUGUUAUGACGUGUUAGAUGUGGAAAUUGAGGCCUUCAAAUACCUGAAAAAAAAAAUCAGGAUGUGAAAUUAAAAAAAUUCCUUUGAAAAAAUUAACUCAUGAACCACAACAAAAGAAUACGGCACUGAGAUACAUCGGAGGUGCCUAUGAUUAAAUUAAAAAAAAUUAAUCAUAAAGGUAAGGAUAUAAAAUUAAAAACAACAGAUUAAAUUUAAUUAUAAAUACUCCUUGGAGAAGGGCACAACACAUUGAGCACCAAAUAGGUCUGUAAUGGUUGAGAAAGCAUGUGCUGAUGAAAAUGUGUAAUCCUUCUUAUAUUAGUUAUCAUUCAGGUUUUUUAAUUUGAGGUAACGUAUUUAUAUAGCAUUUAGCAACAAAGGUUAUUAUAACUGAGUAGUUUAAUAUGGAAUUCAAAUUAUCGAAUCCUUUAUCUUUUAGUUUUAACCACAUUUUAAGCUGAUAAAUCUUAACUUCCGUAUCCUAUAAUAUUGCUAGAAGUUGUAAAUAAUAUUUUCAAAUUAAUUCAUAAAAAAUUAAGAUAAUUAAAAAGCAAAAAUUAAAAGAACACGUGUGCUUCUGGUUGCUAAUUUAAAUUGAUAAAACUAAAAAAUCAUUUAAUUCAAACGGUUCCCAUUAAAUGAAUAGGUCAAUUUUAGUUUAGCAUUUCUCCUCCCAAAUCUCAACCGUUUGGAUGCUCACCAGACCCCCAAUAUUAGCAUAACUCUGAAAUUGUUACCCAAAGUAAAUGUCAAUCUCAGCUCCCUUUCAAACCGUUUGAUAAUCUAAGCCCCAACCAUCUCAAUGGAGCACAACUCUGCAGCUCCUACUGUUGAACCAACCUUAAUCCUCCAUCCAUUUCUCUGCAAGAAUCCUGCCUCAUUAAGAUAUCUCUGCUGUGAUGAAUUGGAGAGCCAUGAGGACUAGCAACUGAAUCUGGUUACUCAUCUUGUUGGUGGUUACAAGGUGCUGUUGACAAAAUCUGAUUGGCAUUGCCACAGAGAAUUAAAGACACUACAAUGAUUAAUUGUUGAGUUCAUUUCAUGUUCUGACCUAUUUGCUAAUUUGGCGGAAGAAGACUAAGAGGAAACCCAGAGGAUUUUGCAGAAAGAAAGGAGGUGCAAAAGAAGUCUCUUAAUGCUAUAGUCAUCAACUACAACGGGGCCGGAGAAAAAAAUAAAGCGGAGAAUUUUGCAAAGGAUAGCAAAGAACUGGAAGGAUAUAAGACACAACUUGUAUCAUAAGUUUUACGAAGAAACAAGGACUUUUGAGAGAAAUGUUAAGCAUCGCCCAUUAGGAAUAGAAGAAAAUUAUUGGAAAUGUUUUCUUGAAUAUCGCCAGAAGGAAGAAACAAAGAAAAAUUGCAAACAAAAUGCUUUAAAUUGGAGUAAGCAACUUUACACACAUAAUCGGGGCUCCAAAACACUGGCAAGAACAAAAGACGAAGUGGAGAAAGUACGUGGAAGGCCCAUUGGUAGAGGAGAGUUGUGGACCAUCACUCAUAAAAAAUGGCUCGUAUAUCUAUGCAGAUGUGCGUGUUGUUGGUGAAGCAAUUGCGAAUAUUGAAAGCCAAGAUGAAUUCUCUAAGCACCUUUCACAAAAUGAUUCGCUAGCACAAGUUCUUGGAAAGGAGCACCCAGGACGAGUUCGUACCUUAGGUGUUGGUACCAUGUCCCACCCAAGUUUUUGGUAAUGCUGCUGUACAACCGUCGGGUUCUGGUGUGUCAACUGAAGAGUAUCAGAGGACGAUUGUAGAAUUAAAGGCUGAGAUUGCAGAAGAGAAGGCGAAGAGACAGACAAUGGAGAAGCUUUUGGGAUAUCUAAUGCGACAGUAAGGAGACAAUUUGCCAGCUGACGUUACUACAAAGCUGGAUCCUUUGGGCAGUACACCGACCUCAUCGCACGCAAGGCACCUUCUUCUGGCAAUCAUGACCCGCAACAAAAAUAAUGACUUUCAGUCAAUGUUAUUAGAUACUAUUGAAUUUAAAUUGUUUUAUUGUUUUAUAUUUAUUUUCUUAAUUAUCGAAUUUUACUUUAUAUUGAAUGAUGCACUUAUGACAAUCUCAUUAUAUA